AUGAACGCUAGCUACAGGCUUAACACAUGCAAGUCGAGGGGCAGCAUGAACUUAGCUUGCUAAGUUUGAUGGCGACCGGCGCACGGGUGAGUAACACGUAUCCAACCUGCCGAUGACUCGGGGAUAGCCUUUCGAAAGAAAGAUUAAUACCCGAUGGCAUAGUUCUUCCGCAUGGUAGAACUAUUAAAGAAUUUCGGUCAUCGAUGGGGAUGCGUUCCAUUAGGUUGUUGGCGGGGUAACGGCCCACCAAGCCUUCGAUGGAUAGGGGUUCUGAGAGGAAGGUCCCCCACAUUGGAACUGAGACACGGUCCAAACUCCUACGGGAGGCAGCAGUGAGGAAUAUUGGUCAAUGGACGAGAGUCUGAACCAGCCAAGUAGCGUGAAGGAUGACUGCCCUAUGGGUUGUAAACUUCUUUUAUACGGGAAUAAAGUGAGGCACGUGUGCCUUUUUGUAUGUACCGUAUGAAUAAGGAUCGGCUAACUCCGUGCCAGCAGCCGCGGUAAUACGGAGGAUCCGAGCGUUAUCCGGAUUUAUUGGGUUUAAAGGGAGCGUAGGCGGACGCUUAAGUCAGUUGUGAAAGUUUGCGGCUCAACCGUAAAAUUGCAGUUGAUACUGGGUGUCUUGAGUACAGUAGAGGCAGGCGGAAUUCGUGGUGUAGCGGUGAAAUGCUUAGAUAUCACGAAGAACUCCGAUUGCGAAGGCAGCCUGCUGGACUGUAACUGACGCUGAUGCUCGAAAGUGUGGGUAUCAAACAGGAUUAGAUACCCUGGUAGUCCACACAGUAAACGAUGAAUACUCGCUGUUUGCGAUAUACAGUAAGCGGCCAAGCGAAAGCGUUAAGUAUUCCACCUGGGGAGUACGCCGGCAACGGUGAAACUCAAAGGAAUUGACGGGGGCCCGCACAAGCGGAGGAACAUGUGGUUUAAUUCGAUGAUACGCGAGGAACCUUACCCGGGCUUGAAUUGCAACUGAAUGAUGUGGAGACAUGUCAGCCGCAAGGCAGUUGUGAAGGUGCUGCAUGGUUGUCGUCAGCUCGUGUCGUGAGAUGUUGGGUUAAGUCCCGCAACGAGCGCAACCCUUGUUUCUAGUUGCUACGCAAGAGCACUCUAGAGAGACUGCCGUUGACAAAACGGAGGAAGGUGGGGACGACGUCAAAUCAUCAUGCCCCUUAUGACCUGGGCUACACACGUACUACAAUGGACAUUAACAGAGGGAAGCAAUACAGCGAUGUGGAGCAAACCCCUAAAAAUGUUCUCAGUUCAGAUUGCAGGCUGCAACUCGCCUGCAUGAAGUCGGAAUUGCUAGUAAUCGCGGAUCAGCAUGCCGCGGUGAAUACGUUCCCGGGCCUUGUACACACCGCCCGUCACACCAUGAGAGCCGGGGGGACCCGAAGUCGAUAGUCUAACCGCAAGGAGGACGUCGCCGAAGGUAAAACUGGUGAUUGGGGUG
rnacentral:rRNA from 1 species